ensembl:lncRNA
GAUCGUGUGUGUGUGUCAGUGUCAGUGAGUAUCUCUUCCUGUGAGUAUUUUUAGAUUGUCAUAAGAAGGUGUUCAUAUAUUUGUAAAUGUAGGUGCAGGUGUGUGUGUGUAUUUCUGGAAGGCAGUGAGGAAUGGGUUCAUGUGAGGAUACAUUUGUGUGUUUGCUAAUAGGCCUAACAAAAAAGGGAUCUUCCUAUAAUGCUUUUAGAUUCGAAUAAAUAAUAUUUGUGCUGUGUUGUCUUCCUUAUGAUGCAAAGGAAAUGAGGAUUCAGUCUGUUUGUAAUGAUGAACAUGUUUCUGACCGCUCUGCUCUUCUUUAACAGGGAGUCUCAUCUCUGAAGAACUGCAUUCUGGGUAUGAAGAUGCUGAUGAGCUUCUCUCAGGUUCGAGAGAUGAAGCACACAUUCACUCCACAUUCAACUCAAAUCCUUUUUAAAGAAUUUGCCUAAAUAAAUAAAUAAAUAAAUAAGUGAAAUAAACAAAUUCUGUUACAUAUUUGAUUGUUGACCCAAUAUUAUCUAAAUACUGCUGUUUACUUAAAUAUUAACAGUCUGCUCUCCUUUUGUUUAGCAAAAGUGUUCAAGACUGCAUUUUAUGAUGAUGUUACUAAUGAAAGUGGCCUAAAAGGUCAGUGACCUUUUUAAUUGUUCACAUGAUUCAUUACCAGAUGUUUAAUAAACUCUGAUGAAAGAACAUAUUUUGGCUUUUGUUUCCAAACAUAUUGUGUGUUGAUGCAGAAGAGAUUAUGAAGGAAAUCACACCGGGACACUAUGAUGAUGUCAUCACUGAUGGACUGAAACCAGAUCGUGAGACAGAAGACACACCUGAGAGCUAUGAUGAUGUCAUGACAAGCGGACAGAACUCUGAUAUCAAAAAAGGUGUUUAUAAUAAUAAUAAUAAUAAUAUUAAUAAUAAUAAUAAUAAUUCUUUAAAAUCAAGAUAGUUACAGAUAAUAUUUUAAAUUACUGCCUUAAUGGGUUUUUUGGUUUACAUUUAAAUUAACUCAUAUUUUUAUGUGCAGUGGACACACCAGAGAAUUAUGAUGAUGUCAUCAUUAAUAGACCGAGCUCUCAAGGGGUAACAGGUGAGAUGCACAGAACUACGCAUGUUUAAAAUCACCCUACGCAUGUUUAGAUGAGUAUCAGACAUGUGUUCUGUGUAAUCAAGUCACUGAAGGGAAAACGGAUCCUUCAUAUGUGAUAAAGUGUUUUAAAAACUGAUAUGAGAUGCUUUUUUGUCAUUCUUGAUCAGAGGGAGUUCAGGAGGAGUAUGAUGAUGUCAUGAGUGUGAGUGAAGAUGUGAGAAACCUGUGAACAAAUAAAUGAAUAUUUUCUAGAAAUUUCUUUUUUUCU